GAUGAACGCUGGCGGCGUGCCUAAUACAUGCAAGUCGAGCGAACGGACGAGAAGCUUGCUUUUCUGAUGUUAGCGGCGGACGGGUGAGUAACACGUGGAUAACCUACCUAUAAGACUGGGAUAACUUCGGGAAACCGGAGCUAAUACCGGAUAAUAUUUUGAACCGCAUGGUUCAAAAGUGAAAGACGGUCUUGCGGUCACUUAUAGAUGGAUCCGCGCUGCAUUAGCUAGUUGGUAAGGUAACGGCUUACCAAGGCAACGAUGCAUAGCCGACCUGAGAGGGUGAUCGGCCACACUGGAACUGAGACACGGUCCAGACUCCUACGGGAGGCAGCAGUAGGGAAUCUUCCGCAAUGGGCGAAAGCCUGACGGAGCAACGCCGCGUGAGUGAUGAAGGUCUUCGGAUCGUAAAACUCUGUUAUUAGGGAAGAACAUAUGUGUAAGUAACUGUGCACAUCUUGACGGUACCUAAUCAGAAAGCCACGGCUAACUACGUG
rnacentral:rRNA from 1 species